GCCGUCGUAACUCAACAAGGCAGAGGACCCGACUUUUAAUCGGUGAGAUGCAGGUUCGCGUCCUGCCGACGGCA
rnacentral:tRNA from 1 species